GAUGAACGCUGGCGGCGUGCCUAACACAUGCAAGUCGAGCGAUUCUCUUCGGAGAAGAGCGGCGGACGGGUGAGUAACGCGUGGGUAACCUGCCCUGUACACACGGAUAACAUACCGAAAGGUAUGCUAAUACGAGAUAAUAUGCUUUUAUCGCAUGGUAGAAGUAUCAAAGCUUUUGCGGUACAGGAUGGACCCGCGUCUGAUUAGCUAGUUGGUAAGGUAACGGCUUACCAAGGCAACGAUCAGUAGCCGACCUGAGAGGGUGAUCGGCCACAUUGGAACUGAGACACGGUCCAAACUCCUACGGGAGGCAGCAGUGGGGAAUAUUGCACAAUGGGCGAAAGCCUGGUGCAGCAACGCCGCGUGAGCGAUGAAGGCCUUCGGGUCGUAAAGCUCUGUCCUCAAGGAAGAUAAUGACGGUACUUGAGGAGGAAGCCCCGGCUAACUACGUGCCAGCCGCCGCCGUAA
rnacentral:rRNA from 1 species